AUUGGGAUCAGACCCACACUUACCCUCCACACACGUGCAUACGACACGUGCAUACAACACACACAUGCACACAGCACACCAUAUGCACACAGCACCACAUAUAUGCACACAGCACACACACACAUGCACAAACCGCCCACACAUGAAUACAGCACACACAUGCAUAUAGCACACACAUGCACAGCACACCACAUGCAUACGCUACACACACAUGCACACAACACACACAUGCACACAGCACAUGCAUGCACACAGCACACAUGCACACAGCACAUAGGCACACAGUACCACACAUACAGCACACCCACAUGCACACAGCACACACAUGCACAGCACCACACACAUGCAUAGAGCACAAGAAUGCACAUGGCACCACACACAUAGGCAGAGCACACAUGCACACAACACAUACAUACACCACGCACAUGCACACAACAUACAUACAUGCACGCAGCACCAACAUGCACACAGCACACACACAUGUG
rnacentral:lncRNA from 1 species